rnacentral:rRNA from 1 species
GAAUUUUAUAUAAAUUUGAUAAUAAAUUUAGAAUAAAAUUUGUUAAAUUUAUAUUUUAUUGGGAGGAUAAUUAAAUUAUAAAAACUUUAAAAAAUAAAAAUCCAUUAAUUUAUGAAUUGCAAAUAGAGAAUGAUAUAAAGAAAAUUAAAAUAAAAUUAAUUACCUUAGGGAUAACAGCGUUAUAUUUUUAGAGAGAUCUUAUUAAUAAAAAUGUUUGC